CCACUGGGAAAAUGGCUUCGUCCUCUGCUUCUCCUCAGUGACAUGCGCAGUGCGCGCAGCUAAACUCGGUCAUUCCGUAGGACGGACUAAUUGACGCGGUAGUAGCGAAACCUGCAGGGAGGGAAGGCGAAGCGCUGUCGGUAUCGACAGGGAGUAUCUAUAACACCGAUAUGAAUCACAGCUUCAGAUCUGAUUUGAUUCGCCGUGAGAUCUGACCUAUAUCUGAACUCUCCAAUAGCAUCAGACAUAAGCGACUCUUAACUCGUCUGAAGUUUGACACAUUUCGCGCGUACUGUAUCUGUUUUGAUUUAAGUAUGCUAAUCUUGUUUUAAUAAUCUUGUCUUUGUCGUUGCGUUUGGUUGCGUUCAGUUUUAACCCUCGCGACUCAGCUGACUCCUUCGGACGUCGAGGUGACAUUAUUUACCAGCGAUGGCAGACGUAGUCAGGCCUGCUUCCCCCUCACCCUCCAUCUCCCUCCUGGAGAUCAAAGCGGAGGCGCGGUUGGUGCUGAAGUCUUUUCUGCGUCACUCUCUCUCGAUUCCUCCCGGUGAGCGCCCUGGAAGGAUAGGAGGAGAAUACAAGGACCCCAAACAAAUACAGAGCCUCAACAAAAGACAAAAUAAAGAAAGAUGCAAAUGGGUGGGACUCCUUGGAUGAGGAGAUCAGUGCCGCAGAGGAAAAGAAACAUGGCAUUAAAGAUUUAAUAAAAAGAAGACUGAGAUCCCGUUCGUCUAUGAUCCGCCGUGCUAAGAAAGACGGCAGUUCUGACCCGACUCCAAACAACACCCUGGAGAAGCAGAGUCAGCCGGGCCAGUCUGACAAGCCAUCAACAAAUGGAACUCACAGUUUCCCCAGAAAAACAGAGGGAGAGAUAUUCACACCAUCCUCUGCAUCUGAAGAGGAAGGCGACA